UACGAAGGGGGCUAGCGUUGUUCGGAAUUACUGGGCGUAAAGCGUGCGCAGGCGGCUUCUCAAGUCAGGGGUGAAAGCCCAGAGCUCAACUCUGGAAUUGCCUUUGAGACUGAGUGGCUUGAGUACGAGAGAGGUGAGUGGAAUUCCCAGUGUAGAGGUGAAAUUCGUAGAUAUUCGGAAGAACACCAGUGGCGAAGGCGACUCACUGGCCCGAUACUGACGCUGAGGCGCGAAAGCGUGGGGAGCAAACAGG
rnacentral:rRNA from 1 species